rnacentral:rRNA from 1 species
AACGUAGGAGACAAGCGUUAUCCGGAGUUACUGGGCGUAAAGGGCGUGUAGGUGGUUUCGUAAGUCUGGCGUGAAAUUUCUCGGCUUAACCUAGGCAGGUCGUCGGAUACUGCGGAACUUGAGGACGGUAGAGGCGUGUGGAAUUCCGGGUGUAGUGGUGAAAUGCGUAGAGAUCCGGAGGAACACCAGUGGCGAAGGCGACACGCUGGGCCGUACCUGACGCUGAGGCGCGAAAGCUAGGGGAGCAAACAGG